AGUCGAACGGUAACGCGGGGAGAAGCUUGCUUCUCCCCGGCGACGAGUGGCGAACGGGUGAGUAAUACAUCGGAACGUGUCCGCUCGUGGGGGACAACCAGCCGAAAGGUUGGCUAAUACCGCAUGAGUUCUACGGAAGAAAGAGGGGGACCCGCAAGGGCCUCUCGCGAGCGGAGCGGCCGAUGACUGAUUAGCCGGUUGGUGAGGUAACGGCUCACCAAAGCAACGAUCAGUAGCUGGUCUGAGAGGACGACCAGCCACACUGGGACUGAGACACGGCCCAGACUCCUACGGGAGGCAGCAGUGGGGAAUUUUGGACAAUGGGCGCAAGCCUGAUCCAGCUAUUCCGCGUGUGGGAUGAAGGCCCUCGGGUUGUAAACCACUUUUGUAGAGAACGAAAAGACACCUUCGAAUAAAGGGUGUUGCUGACGGUACUCUAAGAAUAAGCACCGGCUAACUACGUGCCAGCAGCCGCGGUAAUACGUAGGGUGCGAGCGUUAAUCGGAAUUACUGGGCGUAAAGGGUGCGCAGGCGGUUGAGUAAGACAGAUGUGAAAUCCCCGAGCUUAACUCGGGAAUGGCAUAUGUGACUGCUCGGCUAGAGUGUGUCAGAGGGAGGUGGAAUUCCACGUGUAGCAGUGAAAUGCGUAGAUAUGUGGAAGAACACCGAUGGCGAAGGCAGCCUCCUGGGACAUAACUGACGCUCAGGCACGAAAGCGUGGGGAGCAAACAGG
rnacentral:rRNA from 1 species